GUAGGGAAUAUUGGGCAAUGGUCGGAAGACUGACCCAGCCAUGCCGCGUGCAGGAAGACGGCCCUCUGGGUUGUAAACUGCUUUUAUCUGGGAAGAAAAAGGCCAUGCGUGGCAAAUUGCCGGUACCAGAUGAAUCAGCACCGGCUAACUCCGUGUCAGCAGCCGCGGUAAUACGGAGGGUGCGAGCGUUGUCCGGAUUUAUUGGGUUUAAAGGGUGCGUAGGCGGCUGAUUAAGUCAGCGGUGAAAGACUUCGGCUUAACCGGAGCAGUGCCGUUGAUACUGGUUGGCUUGAGUGUCGGAGGGGUACAUGGAAUUGAUGGUGUAGCGGUGAAAUGCAUAGAUACCAUCAGGAACACCGAUAGCGAAGGCAUUGUACUGGCCGACAACUGACGCUGAUGCACGAAAGUGUGGGGAUCGAACAGGAUUAGAUACCCGGGUAGUCC
rnacentral:rRNA from 1 species